CUGGAGGUAUCAGAAGUGCGAAUGCUGACAUAAGUAACGAUAAAGCGGGUGAAAAGCCCGCUCGCCGGAAGACCAAGGGUUCCUGUCCAACGUUAAUCGGGGCAGGGUGAGUCGACCCCUAAGGCGAGGCCGAAAGGCGUAGUCGAUGGGAAACGGGUUAAUAUUCCCGUACUUGGUGUUACUGCGAAGGGGGGACGGAGAAGGCUAUGUUGGCCGGGCGACGGUUGUCCCGGUUUAAGCGUGUAGGUGUGUGUUCCAGGUAAAUCCGGUUCACUUUAACACUGAGGCGUGACGACGAGGCACUACGGUGCUGAAGCAACAAAUGCCCUGCUUCCAGGAAAAGCCUCUAAGCAUCAGGUAACAUCAAAUCGUACCCCAAACCGACACAGGUGGUCAGGUAGAGAAUACCAAGGCGCUUGAGAGAACUCGGGUGAAGGAACUAGGCAAAAUGGUGCCGUAACUUCGGGAGAAGGCACGCUGACAUGUAGG
rnacentral:rRNA from 1 species